GGAGUUACUGGGAGGGAGACGGAGAGUCACUGCUGACUUCCGCCUCUCCCUGUGGAUCAUCAUCAUCAUCUUCAUUUGCUGCUGGCUGUGGUCUUGGGGCAAAGAACUUGCCUAAAGUGGUCUGUCGUUGACGGCACAGUUUUGAGUGUACAGCUCCUUGUAGCCAGACAUCAGGUUCUCCAGUCCUCUGCAAAUUUGAGGCUACUGUCACAAUCUGGAUCGUACACAAGGUCUUAUAUUCGCACGUUCCACGAGACCCUGAUGAACUGGAACUUUUAAUCGGAGAUUUUGUGUAUGUUAAAGGAGAUAUCCUGGUGUCCUCCCCUGAUGGAUGGGUAGAAGGGACAUCUUGGCUCACUGGUUCAACAGGAUUUUUACCAAUUAAUUAUAUUGAACGUACAGCAGAAUCUGAUGCUUGGACACUGCAUAGAGCUAUUCCAGUCAUAGGCAACACUGGUCGAGAAGGAGUUGAGACCAUAUCCUUCCCCCGCCGUCCACACAUCUCUCUGUCAUUAUUAAACCUAUUAGAAAAUAGUGAAGGCUCCAGACGCUCAACUGAAGUUCUCUCUGAAUCAUCAUCUAUGGAUCGACUACACUCACGUCAAGCUUCCCUGGAGGCCACACAGUCACCUUCUCUUCCCCAACAGGAUGUUAUAGAUGCUUUAUAUGCUAAGGUGAGUUGUUUAGAAUUGAAUGUGCACG